rnacentral:rRNA from 1 species
UGAGGGAUAUUGGUCAAUGGGCGCAAGCCUGAACCAGCGACGCCGCGUGGGUGAAGAAGGUCUUCGGAUCGUAAAGCCCUUUUUCCACUGAAGAGGAAGGACGGUAGGUGGGGAAGAAGUCUCGGCUAACUACGUGCCAGCAGCCGCGGUAAAACGUAGGAGACAAGCGUUAUCCGGAGUUACUGGGCGUAAAGGGCGUGCAGGUGGCGUCUUAAGUCUGUUGUGAAAGCGCCUGGCUUAGCCGGGCGAGGCCAAUGGAGACUGAGAGGCUGGAGGACGGCGGAGGGGUGUGGAAUUCCGGGUGUAGUGGUGAAAUGCGUAGAGAUCCGGAGGAACACCAGAGGCGAAGGCGGCACUCUAAGCCGUACCUGACACUGAGACGCGACAGCACGGGGAGCAAACG